AAUAAAAUAUUAAGUUUCACUCGUAUAAUAGCAGGGAUAUGGCCUGCAAGUUUCUACCGGAUUACCGUAAAUAAUUCGACUAUGGGUGAGUAAUAGAUCUUG
rfam:Bacillus sp. FJAT-22058 super1, whole genome shotgun sequence.